AUCUCCUGGAGAUGAAGAUUUUUAUGAUGCCGAGAGAGCACCAUGCUAUUUUUCUUUUUGCUGAAGGAGAAAAGUUUUAUCAUUCAACUUCUGACCCUCUUUAAAGAUAUUACUGAUGGAUCCUUUCCAUAUGUACAACAUCUAUCUAAUCUGUUGUAAUUGCUUAGUCAACUUCACCCUCGGAGAAUGAUUUUCUUGGCA
rnacentral:lncRNA from 1 species